CCGCACUGGAGGGAGAGCGGCCUGGGGUGUGGGUGUUGUGUGCUGUGUUGCAGAGUCGCAUGGACGACACGUGCGGGCCGAGUGUGUGAGUGGACGCGUGAAUGUGAGCGUGCGUGGGGCGUGCAAGGCGGGUGCGUGACCCCCCCCUACGCCAUUGCCCUCGCUUACACUUUGAUCUUAUUUGAUCGGGUUGUGACUCCAGCCCGCCGGGCCGACCCGAGAUGAAAAGCUCCCCUCCUGCGAAGCCCCUUCCUCGGGGCGCUGUGCAGAGAGGCCCCGUGGGUGGCGGCAGCGCCGCGGUCCCGGAGCCAAUCCUACGGGACCCGGUGCUCAGAAGUGAUGAAUUGAUCAGAUAGACGAGGCCGGGCUUGUCCCGGGCCGCUGAUUAUCGAGGCGAUUCUGAUCUGA